AGCGAACAAAAGCUCCCAAUCAGCUCAGCUCUUCAUUCCCACCUAUACCCACUCAUCCAUGGGAGAUGCCUUCUUUGUGUCGGAGCCUGUGAAAGGAAAUAAGGAUGCAAAGAUCAGCAGGCCACGGCUCCAGAGGGAGGACACUUCACCCUUUGGAGAGGGGUGGGCAGCCAAAGGCUUCCUAGAGAAGGGGACACUUGAGCUGAGCCCAAGAGAUGACAGUGAUGGGAGAGGAGCGUCUGUCUCACUGUGCCUCCCUCCCUCUCUGUGCAGCAGUCACAUCCCACGUCUCCGCUUCCCUCUAACCCACAGCUCCUACUCUAUGGGCUGCUGCUCCUCUUCCGGUGCUCUUCCUUCACCCAGGUCACUGCUGCUCUUCCUUCUGUGUCAGGGCCACAGUCACCCCCCUCAGAGAAGCCUUCCCAGCUUUCCAACCAGAUCAUGUUCCUGCAGGUUACAGGGGUUGCAUCACCCAUGUCCUUCACCUUGGCAUCCCCCAUCAGAGCAGUCGUUUCACAGCUGCCUGUAGGAUUCCUCCAUUAAAGUCUAUUUCCUCCACUUGACUGUAACCCCAUGAGGAUAAGGAUGGGUUUCUGUCUGCCUUCCCAUUGGACCCCCACCACCAAGCAUGGUGCCCACUGAUAUUUGUGGGAUGAAUGACAAUGACCGAAAAGACAAAUAGAUGAGUGAGCACCUGGGAGGCGUGAGUCCUUCGUGAAUAGAGGAAAAGGGUGUGUGUGGUGGGUAGGGGACACUGGAAGGAAGCCAGGGAGUGUGUGGGGAAGUGGGGUGCGUCAAAAAAAGUGAAUUUGAAUUUGAUACUGAAAGCUGUGGGGAUUCACCGAAAAAAAGGAGGCAAAAGGCUGCCUGAAACAUCCAACACACAGACGACCCUAAGUGGGCUCAAGCUUUUAGAGCCUCAGAGAGAGAACUAGUGAGGAAAGAGACUGUGUCUCUGACUGACACCAGGGGAAACACUGCGGUUUAGUAAAAUCCAAUCGAGUUUGCUCAACAGGCAGUAAAUGCAAUUCGCUAUGAACCACAAUUAUAUAUGUUUUGUUUUUUUACUCAAAAAAUUUCCCCAGAAGAAUCAAUUAAGCUCUGAUUUUAAAAAACAAAACAGCAUUUCAGUGUGCACACUUAAGGUUCUUUUAUCUACUCUUCUCACCUCAUUUAUCUUUUGUUCUAUUUCAAUUUGAAUGAAAUCCUCCACAUAUGCACACAUCAAAUGGAUUUGCUGUUGAAGCAGUUUUUUUCACAUAAAUUUGUUUCUCUUUGCUUAACCGUACCAUUUCUGUGUGUUUUAAUCAUUAUUUGGCAAGAGGUUUUCAGAUGUAAUUAAAAGCAGCUAAUCACAUCAAAAAUUUAAAUGGAAAGGUUUAUAAACCUGUGGCACAUUACAAAAAAAUAUGUAAGCAAUAUCAAUGUGAGAACUGCUCCAGGUUUCACAAAAGAGAACAAGUACUGGAUGAACGGUCUUGAAAUAUAAACUGUUGAACAGAGAAGGCCCAAAUCUCAAAUUAGCCUUUUAAAGUCUUCUAAAUAUUUACACAGCAAUAAAAUACAGAGGAGUUUUAGAGGAACUCAGAGGUAACCACAGUAGCAAGUGUAAUUGUUGAAGUUUAAUUUGCUGAUAAUAUAAGAUAGAUUGUAUUUGUUUAAGGAGGUUCAGCUGAAUACAUGGUUUCACAGAAAUGCAAUUUUAACACUGUAUAAGGAUAUGUCACCAAUCACUUGACCUGUGAGGUUUAAGUACCUUGUUUCUGAUAAAGCUUAAUGGUUAUGUUUGAAAAUAUGUGAAAGGUAAAGAAGCAAAAAAAGUAGUGUCCUUUGAGCUCCUACUGUGUGGCAAGCAUCACAGCAAAAGCUUGACGAAUUUUUGGCCCAGCCUAUUCAGCACAAUAAUGGGCUGUGUGAGGUGUUUUUCACUCUUUUUACAUAUGAUAAGAACCAAAAUUCAGAUAAGGCAUCUCAUUGCCUAAGGUCACACAGCAAGCCAGUGGCGGAGCCAGGCAAAUUAACAAAGGAAACAAAGAUUAAUUCUGGAAUCCCUAAAGAGAGCUGACACAGGAGCAUUCAAGCAAAAACCGGCAAGGAGCCACGCACAGGAUUUAAGAGUAAUUAUGAUCAUUAUACAACUACAGAUGUGAUAAAUUCAUUUGAGUAAUAAAAAAAUUAAAAAAAAAGAACUUGGCAUAUGGUAAAAAAAAAAGAUAAUUAUGUAAAUGACAUUCUUCGGCUUUGGAAACUACCCCUAAUUUACACAAAAUGCAUAUUUUCCUUGUGCCUUUCCCCUUGUACAACCUCUAUUGCACUAAGUCCUUGUGGUCAGUGCCAAUUUUGCUCCUUGUGCACAAACUGUAUCCAGCAGGUUACACAAAAGAAAACAACAACUCGGUUCAACGCCCUCCCCUGCCUUGGACCCCAGCCCCAUCUCAACCACCAAUGGAAGAGCUGGGAGGCCUCCCCUGCUUGCUCCUGGCACUCUGGCCCACCACUGCCAACAUCUGUUACACCGAAUUUUACUUAGUUAUCUGUUUCCCUCCUGUUCUGAGGGCAGGGAAGAGUAUUUUCUCUUAAUUUCAUUUUCCCAUUGUGUGUUGCUAGCAUAUAGAAACAUUAUUGGCUCCUUGUAUUUAUAUUCCUGUAUCUGUAACUGUUAAUUUAUUCUAGUAGCUUUCCUUGUGUUAUCUAUGAAUGGAGACAGUUUUAUUUAUUCCUUUCCAAUUUCUGUGCCCCCAUCACUACUCUGUUUUAUUUUUUGUUUUUGCUUUUUGCCUUAGUGCACUAAAAAGAACCUC
ensembl:lncRNA